rnacentral:rRNA from 1 species
CGGGGUAAUGGCCCACCAAGGCAACGACGGAGUAGCCGGGUCUGAGAGGAUGAUCGGCCACACUGGCACUGAGACACGGGCCAGACUCCUACGGGAGGCAGCAGUUAAGAAUCUUGCGCAAUGGACGAAAGUCUGACGCAGCGACGCCGCGUGAAGGAUGAAGGCUUUCGGGUUGUAAACUUCGGUAGACUGGGAAGAAAAGUAAGUUCGUUGAGGGCUUACAUUGACGGUACCAGUCUGAAGCCCCGGCUAAUUACGUGCCAGCAGCCGCGGUAAUACGUAUGGGGCAAGCGUUGUUCGGAAUUAUUGGGCGUAAAGGGCUCGCAGGUGGUUUGUUAAGUUGGUGGUUUAAUCUCUGGGCUCAACCCAGAGUCAGCCAUCAAAAACUGGCGAACUUGAGUACGAUAGGGGAUAGCGGAAUUCUCGGUGUAGCGGUGGAAUGCGUAGAUAUCGAGAGGAACACCAA